CCGAUGGAGGGGGAUAACUACUGGAAACGGUAGCUAAUACCGCAUAACGUCGCAAGACCAAAGAGGGGGACCUUCGGGCCUCUUGCCAUCGGAUGUGCCCAGAUGGGAUUAGCUAGUAGGUGGGGUAACGGCUCACCUAGGCGACGAUCCCUAGCUGGUCUGAGAGGAUGACCAGCCACACUGAACUGAGACACGGUCCAG
rnacentral:rRNA from 1 species